UGUUUUCUACAGCUAUCUCAGUCCCAAAAUCCUUUGCCAUCAAAUUCUUCGUCUUCCUGCCUUGCAUCAUCAUACAUGAACACGCAGGUUCCAUUUUGUUAGUCACGGGGAUGUUUUCCAUGGUUUUGAGUUUUGUUUUAGUUAUCAGAUCAAUCAGAAUGGAAAAAAUCAAAUUAGUUCUCGCAUCAACCGGGAUUGCAAAACUCAAAUUACGGAGUAGGGAAAACUGAGAAACAGAAUUGGGAACGAGAGUACAGAGAGAAAUGGGAACAAAAACUCUUGAGUUUCUCAUCUGAGUUGCGUAGAGAAUUCUCCAAAGUCUUAAUAGAAUCAUAAAUUAGAGGAAUUGGAUGGUUUCUUGAUGAUGAUUCUGGAUUUGAAGAUGUGCACAUUACUAAAAUUUGGGUUGAUCACUAUAUCUGGAUGGUUUCAUGAUGAUGAUUCUGGAUUUCAAGAUGUGCAUAUUACUAACAAAUCUGGGUUGAUCACUGCUCUGGAUGGAUUCUUGGGGGUUGAUUGGAUACCAGAAUGUCCAGACUAACAAAGAUCAGAGAUGUCACUCAAGUUCACCUCAACAAUAAUUAUUAUUGGAUCUCCUAAGAAGAAUUUGGUGAUGGAUUUCACCGAUGUCUCAAAUUCAUUGAAAGCAUUCGUGAAAGCCAAACAGUUGCAGAUUUACCAUCAAUGUGUUUUUUUUUGGGAGGCGCAUAAAACUAUCUAGGGUUUAAUUUGCAGUUCAUGAUUUCGGGGUCGAAGCAGUAACAAGGUUCUUUCUUUCGUACCUAGAAUUCAAUCAUGCAUACAUGUCUUUUAAUAUCAAGUUUCAUUAGUUUGUUCUUCCAAAUCAUGUCAUGUUAUUAUACUGCUUCACAAUCCAAUCCAUUUCAGAAUAUAUAUGAAGCAGUACAAAGUUUUAUAUCUUCACUAGAGAUCACUUAGCACCAAUGAUUCCAUGUCACAUCUUAUGAUCGCUCAUUUUCCGGAUGGUAUUACAUGGUUGUUAGUGGAGUUCUAAGCAGCAUUGGUUUUCAUAUAAGUAGUUGCACCUGAUGCAGUUGAUUCAGAGGAAAGAAUGGAAACAAAGAUAUACAGUAAGCGGCUCUUUAUCCUUUUAUAUACCAUAAUAUUAACCACCUCCUUUUUAAUAAAUCAAUCGGUUCUGGCCAAAUGCCAUGCUAAAAAUUGACCUUCAUGGUUUGACCUUUUGUUUGUUGGGUGUUAUUUAUGAAAUCCAUACUUCGCGCAAGGUUUGAAACUCUUCUUACCAUGUUUAUUAGUAUUUCGGAGAACAACAUUAUUCACCGCACUUAAUUGCAGUCUUGACCAAACUGCGGUGGUCAUUUGUGAUCAAUUCAUUUUGUCCAUGAUGUGCAACUCAUCUUAGGGUUAAGCAGCCAUCAGUUUUAUCCUUUAUCUGCUUCUUCGGAGAUUAUGUCGCACCGUUCAGUCAUAAUUUGUGCCUUAUGGUAAGCAAAGGCGGCCAUUUUACCACUUUCAGAAGAGACGUCAUGUUGUCCCUUAACCGGGUUCAUGUCUCAUUAUCCUGAGCAAAGUAAUCGAAUCAUAGUUUUUUAAGGCUCAUUGGGGGAUCACUUCACCCCGACGGGUCAAACCAUCUCCUCUCUGAUACACUUCUUUGUUCUAUUAGGUUUAGACCUGUUGAAAUGGCAACACCAGCAGGAUAAUGGUGAACAAACAAAGAAUGAUGAAAACACUUAAGCUAUCUACAAACUCAACAAUGCAUAUUAAAUGAAAUAUGUCGAGGUCCUAGCGAAAGAUGGAGCCGGCCCUGUAGUUUUCAAAACCGUUCCAGAUGUUCACGAAAUUUCUCAACAAACAUGACAGAAGCAUUCUAUCUUGGGCUCUUUUAAUACCAAUAGUCAACUCAUGGGGUGAAUGGGAUUUCUUUGGUUGCCUUUACCUAAGAUGUUAGUAAAAUCAGCUGCACAACUCCUGAAUCAACUAGGUUGAUCAUUUAAUCCCUGUCAAAUGUAUUUGUAAGUAGUGCAUGAAUCAAAUUUGAAGUGUGACUCUCAUAACAGUUCUCAAGUUCUUUGGGUAUAUAUAGUUGUCCUAUGUUAUGUGUACCUACAUGCUGCAACAAAGCACGUAUAUUUUGAUGUUGUUCGUGAUAUCUGUACUAAGCUCAGCAUCAUUCAUCGUUUACAUCAUAAAUCUUUGUUUAAAGUAA